GGGAUAAUCUCGGGAAACUGAGGAUAAUACCCCAUANGUCUGAUCUGCUGGAAUGCUUUCAGGCCGAAAACUCCGGUGCCUUAAGAUUGGUCUGCGGUCUAUCAAGCUGUAGUGGGUGUAAUGGACCCACUAGCCCGUGACGGAUAUGGGCCUUGAGAGAGGGAGCCCACAGAUGGACUCUGAGACAUGAGUCCAGGCCCUACGGGGCGCAGCAGUCGCGAAAACUUCGCAAUGGGGGCAACCCCGACGAGGGAAUUCCAAGUGCCAGCACUUUGUGUUGGCUGUUCUCCUGUCUAAAAAACAGGAGGAGUAAGGGGCGGGUAAGACGGGUGCCAGCCGCCGCGGUAAUACCCGCGCCCCUAGUGGUGGUCGAUAUUAUUGAGCCUAAAACGUCCGUAGCCGGUCUUCUAAAUCCUUGGGUAAAUCGGGCAGCUCAACUGUCCGAAGUCCGGNGGAGACUGGGAGACUUGGGACCGGGAGAGGUCAGAGGUACUUCUGGGGUAGGGGUAAAAUCCUGUAAUCCUGGAAGGACCACCGGUGGCGAAGGCGUCUGACUAGAACGGAUCCGACGGUGAGGGACGAAGCCCUGGGGCGCAAACGGGAUUAGAUACCCCGGUAGUCCAGGGUGUAAACGCUGCGGG
rnacentral:rRNA from 1 species